GAUGUGCAUGUGCAAAUCCAGAGGGCUGAUCCAUACAUCAUUCAUUAAAUCCUGUGGAGUUUGAGCUCCACUAGCCGCUGUGAACUCCUGUCACCUGCAGCUACAGGGUUUAGUUCCCACUGAAAUGGCGUAGUUUCCAUGGUAGGGCUAUAGGACUAGACCCUGCAGAGAGCCUCCCUAUGUCCUGCACUGGGUGCUGCCCCGUCAUGCAGAUGAACCCACCAAGAUUUUCUGUAAUGAAGCAGAUCAGCAGCUUCAGUCCCAUGGCUUGUGUGGGAAUAGUAAGAUGGAGACUAGCUUUCUCUGGAAGUCAGACCCACGCCCCCUGCCAAAACCACAUCACUGUGCCCAGAGGUGGUGGCACAGCCAGCCAGCAGCAACUCCUACACAGGCUGGUAGAAAAAUAAGCAGGGAUGUUCCAGCCCUUCCUCUCAACUUGAGUUCGGGGGAAUUAAAAAAUAAAAAUAAAAAAGUAUUUUCUCACAGACAAUUCCACAAAACAUUUAUCCUGAAGCUUACUCCAGCCCCAUUAAAGGGAAGGAUGAAGUAUUAAAGUAUAUCUAAAACUGGUAUCAUGUCACCUGCUUUUCAGACAGACUGAAGCUUCUAUUCAGAAGCCAGCUGUCAGCUAAUUAAUUUGCUAAGCUUGCUUCAUUUUUCCUCACUGCUUGACUGUAUUCACCUCCUAGUCUCACUCCUAAAGCUGUCUUACAGCAAAAUUUCUCAGAAAAACCCAUACUAUGAGAGAGUGGGAGCAUACUGGCUGAGGAGAGAUUCUUAACAGUUAAAAAUCUUGCAAACCCCAUGAAUAAUUUUAUAACGUGUUUAUAACUGUUGACUUUUCAAAGGUUAAUAGGCAAUCCAAACACGAGGUAAAUCUGGACCAAAGGACACACUUUGCCAGGUAUUAAAUUGUCUCCAAACAGAAGUGCUCUAUCAUGGUGUUCAAAGUCUGACUUUUUUUUUUUUUUUUUUUUUUUUUUUUUCCCAAAUGGGGGUAAAUCUACCCCAUUUUUCUUGGUCCCACUGCUACAAACACUGACAGAUUUUCCUGCAGAACUCCAGUCAGGCUAGUGUUAAGACCAGAGAAAGAAACCAGUCCAUCCAAAGAUUUGCAGUGGCUGAAGCUGGCAGGGAAGUUGUCCCUUUCCUCCAACCCACAUGCCUACCCUGGUGCUCUUCCUUAGGCCAGGUGAGCUCUGCAUGGAAGAUGAAGCUUGCCCUGUUAAUCCUCUGUCAGCUGAGCUGAAUUUAUGAAGCAUGGGAUGGGUGUGAGGAAGAGGGAUGUGCACCCUGCCCCUAAUGGCAGCUGCCUGCUCUUUGAGCAGAUGGAGCCUCUUGACUGGCAACCCCACUUCAGCAUGAGCAAUGGGCUGAGAUACCACACCUGAGGAGGUCCCCAGGCAGACUCACCCCACUGUCUGUGCUUUAUCAGCAAAGCUACGAGCAGCCCCUGGUGCCCUCGUGCUCGAGCAGUGUCACCAUGCAAGGGAGCAAGUCGGUCACAGGGGAAUGCCAGAGGCCCUUAGGAGAGCUGCACACCAAAGCAAGCUGCACUACAGGAUGUUUAUUAUCCUGCUCUGGGUUAUAAGCGCUUAGUCAUGAAUUCUUUGUAGCAAGAAGGUGGCAAUGCAAAAAUAAAUGUUUACAGAUAAA